rnacentral:misc_RNA from 1 species
UCAGUAGUCAGUACACCCCGGACAGCGUGCCGGGAGGAAGUAGUGUGGUGGCUGGCAUAGCUAGAACCUCCCUUACUCACCUUGGCUAACCCGCUCUGUUCGCUACAUUUUCAGCGUUUGUACCCUUACCUCGAGCGCUUUAUAUAAUUACACGUAAAUUAAAUUGUAGUGAAUUGUGAUGUGUAAUUUACCGUAAGAAUUCCCACGCGCUGAUUUUGUGUUAAGUUUAUUGGUAUGUUAUGAAGUGAGGUGGAGGGAAGGUACUACUAAGCUUCUCAGCCGUCCCCUCCCCCCACCCCCCACCGCAUCAACCAAGUCCAGCAGCGAUAACUCGAGGAAAUACUAAACAGAAAUGAAUGACAAGGAGCAAGAAGGCAUAGGGAGAGGCAAUGGUGGGGCUGGAACCAAAUCUUGGGUCCAGUUUGAAGAGGAUGAAGGAGUAGAGGGUCAGAAGGAUGGAAAGCUCACACAAAGCCCGCCAAACACUCCUGCUGUCAUUGAUGCUCAUGCAGUGCAGGUUAGUCUGGAAAACCACAAUGGAGCACCUGAAAACCACAGAAACAGUAUAACAAAGACUAUUUCUGAGCCACCCAAUGGGGUACCAAGACUGCAGGCACCACCCAGUGGAGGAGCAACAGAUAAACGGGAGACACGGGUCACCAUGUCCCAGCUCAGUCCUUCACAGCUCCAUAAUGUUCCUUUAAAUGAUGCAUCUGCAGCUUCUGCACAGACCCACCAUCCACCUGCCACUACCCAGCCAGUAGUGAGACAAGGAUUUUCCAAUGGUGAUGUGAUUGUGACACUGCUGCCUCAGAAUACGUCAAUGCCCUGGAUUACUCCGGCCCAGUUCCGUCCAGAACUUGUACCUGAGGAGCUCAUGGCACAAGGUCUGACGCUGACAGUGGAGGACUAUGUGCAUAUCAUGUCCCAGUUGGUGAAUGACUACCGCUUCACCCUGUACAACGUGUGCUACAAGCGAGUCCUCAUGGCCUGGAUCAUAAUGGGUUUUGUGAUUCUGCUGUCCAUCCUCUUCUCAGGCCUCUCCCAGUUGGCACUCUUUGGUGCUGGCAUUGGAUGGCUCAUGAUUAAUGCAGCUGCUAUAUUCUUCUGUAUGUGGAUCAAAAUUAGGCUGAACAAGUCCUUGGAACAGUGUUUGGCAGAAAUCAAUAUACAGUUACUUCGCCACAAGAUCAUUCUGGGCUUGGAUGACCGAGGGAAGCUGUCUUGUCACAAAGUCAACCUCUGCUUCAUCUAUUUUGACACUCAUGACUGUGUGGCAAAACUCCAAGAGGUAAUGGAAGAGGAGGAGCGAGCAGGCCGAGCAGUGAACAGUGAAGAGGCUGCCAAACUGCCCUCACUUCGGCAGCGCAUGGACAUUGAUGACUCAGACAUUAUCAUCACUGGUGCCACAAACACUCGCAUCUCACGGCAACAGGAACGUGCCAAACUGUUGCUGACCCGUUAUAGCCAGCGCUGGGCCAAGGACUUCCUGCGCAAGCGGCUAGACUGGGCCUUUGACGCCACUGCACGCAUGGAGGGUUUGGCCCCCCCAGUGUCACCCCGCCAUCUAACCACUGCCCGCUGCCCUUGCCAGUAUAUUGAAGAGCACCUGAAUGUUAAGCUCUCCCGCCACCACCGCCAAUCCUCUACCACACAUUGUGGUUGCCUUUCACGCUUUUGUCAGGAUGCUGACCUGUGACCAUCCACUGCCCCCUUAAUAGUCUCAUCAUUCCCUUCCCAUAACACACACACACACACACACACACACACACACACACACACACACACACACACACACACACACACACACACACACGUGGCAGGAUGUCAAUCUCGCUAGGAAAUAGAGGAGCAUAAAGGUUGAGACAGUUUUUUUUAGGUUGUGGAGAGGAAGGAAGGAAGGAAGGGAUGGAUGGAAGGAGGGAGGGAGAGAAGGAUAUAGACAGGCAGGAUGACAAUAAACUGAUUCAACACGUGCUUGUUAAAGAAGAGUAUACUGAAUAUGUAAUAAACAAAAAGCGAAGAAAAAAUACAUUGAUUGAUGAAUUGAUAAUAGUCAGCUGUGUGUGUGUGUGUGUGUGUGUGUGUGUGUGUGUGUGUGUGUGUGUGUGUGUGUGUGUGUGUGUGUGUGUGUGUUAUUAGGCAGACGGAUGGCAUGUCUAUCCUUAAAGAUUGACAGAUGCAAUUAGUCACACAGGUACAGCAGGUGAUGAGUAUUUAGACAGCAAGCAGGUCUCCAUUUAUCAGACGGACAUAACAGCAGCAACAACAGCAACAGCGAUAGUAAUGAUGAUUCUGAUACCAAUAAUGAGUGUUUUGAUAAUAAUAAGAAUAACAAUAACAAAAAAAUCACAACUGAAAACAGCAACAACAACAACAACAACAGCAACGUCCCCUUGAAAAUCAAAAAGUUAAUGAAAUCAUAAAUAGAGCGGAAGUGAGAAGGUUUGUUUCAGGCUGUGGGAAGUAACACCUGUGCCGCGAUGGAGUAACACAGAGGCGACACCUGUCUACUCCCCUCGCAGCCCAGCCAGACUCACACCUUAUCGUGGAGGUGCGAGGAGGGCGGUAUCGAAGUCUAUAGAUAGGAGUGCGUCUUGCGAGUUACGUAUAUUCAUUGGAGAUAAGAAACAAGUGAGGAGAAAGAGACCUGAUAGUAGUAUUGUCGUGUAAACAUCCGUGGUGAGUGUUAGCGUUGUGCAGUGUGGAUAUAUCAGUGGUGGUGCCUUCCGAUGGUGAUUUUAUAUGCCAGUGACGAGGCUGUGGUGGUGGUGCAGGUGUGGCCGGAGUGGCGUCGAGGUCAGGGGCGGGAGGAGGGGUCUUUCCCACCAGCCGCGUAGUUAUGAAGCCUUGGCUGUGACCGGCGCGAGGAGUGAGAUGAGCAGAAGGAUCAAUCGAAGGAGAGAGGAAGGAAGUAAAGAAGGAACAUCAUAUUUUCAAGGCCGCCAACCAAUGCACGGUGACGCAACCAACACGUCAUGGAGUGAGGAGAGGCGUGGCCAGUGUUCCAUUACCACCAAUGUCGCCAUCGUUUACGUGACGCGUAUGCUUGUAGGUGCGGGUGACACGCUAACCUUUUCAUGUUGUAGGUGGCGUCGAACCUCAUGAAAGAUGUGUACAGGUGACAUUUUCCCAGUUGUUGUUUCUGUUGUGAUGAUGUCAUGAACCCAGCGUGACGGUGACGCCAUGAGCUCUCCCAGGCCGACUUUCAAAAUAUAUAUCAAUGACGUUGAACUGCUGGACG